rnacentral:tRNA from 1 species
UCUAUUUUAGUUUAUUAAAACGUUACUUUGUGGUAGUAAAAUUAAGGGCUUUCUUAAAUAGA